GACGAACGCUGGCGGCGUGCCUAAUACAUGCAAGUAGAACGCUGAAGAGAGGAGCUUGCUCUUCUUGGAUGAGUUGCGAACGGGUGAGUAACGCGUAGGUAACCUGCCUGGUAGCGGGGGAUAACUAUUGGAAACGAUAGCUAAUACCGCAUAAAAUGGAUUAUCGCAUGAUAAUCCAUUGAAAGGUGCAAAUGCAUCACUACCAGAUGGACCUGCGUUGUAUUAGCUAGUUGGUGGGGUAACGGCUCACCAAGGCGACGAUACAUAGCCGACCUGAGAGGGUGGGCGGCCACGUUGGGAGGUGGACGCGGCCAGGAGCCCGGGGGGAGGCAGCAGGAGGGAAGCUGGGGAAAGGGGGGGGAGGCGGACCGAGCACGGCGGGGGGGGGGAAGAAGGUUGUCGGAGAGAAAAGCCUGGUUGAAAGGGAAGAACGGGUGGGGGAGGGAAAAGUUCACGCGGGGAGGGUAUUUAACCAGAAAGGGACGGCAAACUAGGUG
rnacentral:rRNA from 1 species